UGGCUCAGACAGUAAAAGCAUCUGCCUACAAUGCAGGAGACCCGGGUUCGAUCCCUGG
rnacentral:tRNA from 1 species